AUGCCUAGGAAUCUGCCUGGUAGUGGGGGACAACGUUUCGAAAGGAACGCUAAUACCGCAUACGUCCUACGGGAGAAAGCAGGGGACCUUCGGGCCUUGCGCUAUCAGAUGAGCCUAGGUCGGAUUAGCUAGUUGGUGGGGUAAUGGCUCACCAAGGCGACGAUCCGUAACUGGUCUGAGAGGAUGAUCAGUCACACUGGAACUGAGACACGGUCCAGACUCCUACGGGAGGCAGCAGUGGGGAAUAUUGGACAAUGGGCGAAAGCCUGAUCCAGCCAUGCCGCGUGUGUGAAGAAGGUCUUCGGAUUGUAAAGCACUUUAAGUUGGGAGGAAGGGCAGUAAGUUAAUACCUUGCUGUUUUGACGUUACCGACAGAAUAAGCACCGGCUAACUCUGUGCCAGCAGCCGCGGUAAUACAGAGGGUGCAAGCGUUAAUCGGAAUUACUGGGCGUAAAGCGCGCGUAGGUGGUUUGUUAAGUUGGAUGUGAAAGCCCCGGGCUCAACCUGGGAACUGCAUCCAAAACUGGCAAGCUAGAGUACGGUAGAGGGUGGUGGAAUUUCCUGUGUAGCGGUGAAAUGCGUAGAUAUAGGAAGGAACACCAGUGGCGAAGGCGACCACCUGGACUGAUACUGACACUGAGGUGCGAAAGCGUGGGGA
rnacentral:rRNA from 2 species